GCUUGGAUACGGCCUUUUGCGAGACGUUGCUUUGCAAUAAUGCAGCGAAUGUGAUCAGAAAAAACAAAUGUGGCUUGAAGGAUAGGGAAGGGCUUAGAAUGAGGACUCGAGGCAGGUUUAUGAAUUAUAAUGUUCAGAGCUCUACUAUCAUCUUCUACUCCUGUCACCUGCAUAUCCUGUAAAAGGCCUGCAAACUUAACUACUCCCCAGCCAAGUCUGGCAACAUCUGGCUCAACCAGACUCAUCUGAUAAAUAUCCACAGCCAGGAAUCUUUGAACUUGACCUCCAUCCUUUGUUAUGACUGUACAAGCAAUUAGAUCACUGUUAUUCAAGUCGAGAACAUCAUCUGUCUUUAUCAGAUCUUCCUCUCUUGUCAAUGGUAACUGGGUUUCUGGCUCGCCUUGCAAGUGCAAUGAUAAUGAACGAAGCAUAAAGAAAACUCUGAUUGCUCUUCGUGUUCUU
rnacentral:lncRNA from 1 species